GGCAAAAGAUUAGUGUAUUGGUUCAUGGCGAAUGGAUACGCAUCAUCGUCGUGAGAAGCGAGGAAAAAAAUAACAUGUCAACAAAAACCUUGUUGAACUGAGUUGAGCAUGAAAACGGUCAAUUUUUGGCGGAGGUCCGUUUCGGAUUAGCGGUAACCGUGAUUUUGAUUUGAUUAAAUCCCGGCUUGCGGAGAUUUCGCGAGUCCGAUCAUGGCGUCGGUAUGCAUUAACGAGGCGUUUGAACGACAAAGAGCUCAGAUGGGUGUUGUCGAGGUUGGACAGCGACAGCGACAGCGACAGCGACAAGGACAAGGAGGUGGUCGGUCUGGUUUGCGAGACGAAGAAUCUCAAGGCUCGUGCGGAUUCUGACUUCUAUGCCAUCGCCGAUGGAUUCAAGUGCUUGUAGUCCACAAAUGCGGGAAUGUGAAGGUGACUGUUUUGGCUGCAAGUUCUUACCUUUCUGUGUUAAUGGAUGGUAAUUUGCAAUUUCUAGACUGAAGCUAUUGUUUGGGUUUUUGGGUCAGUGCUGUAUAGUAGUAUAAUGCUGUCUCUGUGGGUUAGGGUUACUGCCAAUGAUUUGGGUAUAGAACGAAAUUCUCCAAUCCUUCUAAGGUUGCAAGUCAUUGGCUUCAAGUGGUGGUGUUCAAAUUUGAGAUUUGACAUAUACCAUAACCUUUGGUUGUCUUGGUGAUGAUCAUAUUCGUGAGAGCCGGUUAGAUAAUUCAACCUUAGUGGGGGGUUUUCUUGUUUGAAUCCUACCUAGGCGAUUAUUUUGAGUAGGCACUCUAUUUUUCCCUUCAGGUAUGGAUGUGUUCUUGGUUUGAGUUGUUAAGUCUGAUGAUGUGCUAGUGUUUUUGAAGAGUUUCUCUGUCCUAACCUGACCAUCACACCCUUUUCUUUUCUACAAUCUGGAAGUUCAUUGUUUCUUUGGCCCAAGUACAUUUCCGAGAGUUUGGGUUGGAAAGGAGCUUUUGCUCUGUUCCUUGCCAGUUGAACCACUCAAUCUUAGUUCAUCACACCUCUUUUUAGGCAUAACUAGAUAGCAUAGUUAAUCAAAGUAUUAUCGAUAUGUAAAGCAGCAUGGAGUCAUCUGUGUUGAUAGUGGAAUGGAAUGAUCCUAUGCUUUGAUUUCUAAUCUUAAUUGGGUUUUGCCAAGGUGACAGAAAAAGGAUUUUGGCAACGUUUGACCAUCUAGUUUAUGGGUAUAUGCCAUUUCCUUUUAUAUUUAUAAAGCCAAAGAGAACAAAAAAAAAUUGUAAGCUGGUUGGUAUUGCUUCCUUCAAUAUUUUGGCUGGCUGCUGUAAUUUUGGUUAGGGUAACUUUGGUUUUGCUUAACUGUUUUGAGGGGUGUUACACAUUCUGGGUUGGAACCAAUUGGAUCUAGUCUCUCUUAUCUUCAGUUUUUGAAUGUAUCCUACUGUGUAUAGCUCACGGAUAAAGGAUUAUCCGAUGUUGCAGAAGGCUGUCGUGGCCUGAGGACUUUGCAAUUUUAUCGGGUGCCAAUUUCUCAGAGACAAAUUAUUAAUCGCUCUCUGAGAAUUGCUGUGAUUUACAAGCUCUUGGACUUCAAAAUAUCAGCAAUAUUACUGAUUCAGACCUGAGUGAUCUUGAAAAAGGAUGUCUGAAGAUAAAAUUCUUAGCUAUCAGAUGCAGUAAACUCGGAGAUGCAGGGGUGUUAGUUUUACAAAGUUGAGGGUGAAUCUGUAUUAUCUUUGGCGAAUUUUGCAAGAAUUUGGAAACUCUAACAGCUAAUGGUUGCCGCAUAUCUCUAACGUAUCUAAAAUAUUGGCCGCUUACUCCUGUAGAGACAACCUCAAGAACCUAAAUAUGGGUAGGUGUCUGAAUAUAACUGACUCUUCCAUAAGCUGCAUCCUCACUCGGUGCAAAAACUUGGAGGCUCUUGAUAUCUGUGGCUGUGAAGAUAUCACAGAUGCCGCUUUUCCAGUAAGGCAUCUUCCACAUGUGAAGGAAAGAACAUGGGAGGAAGCUGGUCUGGUUUUCCCAAAAGGUCGUAAGAUAAAAUUUUCUGGGAAGUUCAAUCGAACCAGAUGUUGUUGCUUCCGUGAAACUCUCUGAUUCCAACCUUGUGAUGGGAGAAACAGGACUGUUUACUUCUUCUUCUUUUUAAGCCUGGCAACGGUGGUGCUCUUCAGAUUAAAAGGUGCUUGUGAAUCGACUCGAAUGGCCUUAAGCACUCAAGAACUGUUGGAUUUGUACUUGGAUUGACAAUGGUGGUGCGGAACCAGGAUAAAAGAACAGCUUAUAUGUUGAGUUCCUGUUCUUGCAUGAGCAGUGUUUACAGUGGAAAAGAAAUGCUCUGAGACAGCGCCUGCUGAAGAGAGUUGAAAGCUUUCUGGUGGCUCAAGAAUCCCAUGAACCAAAAGUCGAAAUCAUCGACCGUGACUACUUCCAGAAAUCUUGAUCGAUCUUUCGCUGCAGAAGGCGAUCUUCUUGGACGAGAUGAAGAGAAGACCCGGGAUAGGACCAGACGUCGUUGACAGGUAGC